rnacentral:sRNA from 2 species
GUGGACCACUCGAACACACCGGUUCUGAUUACACCGCCCGCAUCCAGCUGAGGACUGCUCGCAAGGAUCUGUUAACC